GCACUCAGAGGGACAGGAAUUUCCUUCUUCCUUUCCUACUUCCCCCUCAACCAAGAGUUGGGAGAGUGGGAAGAAGGCGCCAAGUGCACGCUGCUGGCGGUUGCAGCUCCCCAGAGGCCUGAGAUCCGACCACAGGACGUCCCUGCCUGGACCACGUCCACUUGAAAAUCCUGACAGAGCUGAGUCUUGUGUGUGCCUAGGCCCUGCCACAGGGACCUGGUCGGCCUGCCUGUUGAGGCGAGGUUGUGGAUGUCCCCGGACCCUAGUGGUCCCUGCUUCGGAUGAUGUAGGGCAGCAUCCACCUGAAUGCACAUCACUACCAAGGCCAAGGUUUUGGAAGGAAGCCCUUCUCCUCUCCCAUCUCAAUAUUAGACCAUGGGACCCUGGGCCACCGGGCUCAGGCCGCCGACCCUGGAGCCCUGACCAGUGAACACAGCUGCCUGUCCUUUACCCUUGUGUCCAUCCAGGAGCGGCCAUCUGCCAGGGACCUGGUCGGCCUGCCUGUUGAGGCGAGGUUGUGGAUGUCCCCGGACCCUAGUGGUCCCUGCUUCGGAUGAUGUAGGGCAGCAUCCACCUGAACGCACAUCACUACCAAGGCCAAGGUUUUGGAAGGAAGCCCUUCUCCUCUCCCAUCUCAAUAUUAGACCAUGGGACCAUGGGCCACGGGGCUCAGGCCGCCGACCCUGGAGCCCUGACCAGUGAACACAGCUGCCUGUCCUUUACCCUUGUGUCCAUCCAGGAGCGGCCUUCUGUCAGGGACCUGGUCGGCCUGCCUGUUGAGGCGAGGUUGUGGAUGUCCCCGGACCCUAGUGGUCCCUGCUUCGGAUGAUGUAGGGCAGCAUCCACCUGAACGCACAUCACUACCAAGGCCAAGGUUUUGGAAGGAAGCCCUUCUCCUCUCCCAUCUCAAUAUUAGACCAUGGGACCAUGGGCCACGGGGCUCUGGCCGCCGACCCUAGAGCCCUGACCAGUGAACACAGCUGCCUGUCCUUUACCCUUGUGUCCAUCCAGGAGCGGCCUUCUGCCAGGUGGGAAGCCCGUGCUGGGCCUAGGGUCCCAUUGAGUUGGGUGGUCUCCUCCCUUGUUUUCACACCUCCCUGUGUGCUCUUGGUUGUGGGACACCACCACCCCACCUCUCUAGCAUGUCUGGGGUUGCCCCGGCCAGUGGGGUGUCAACAGGUGUGACCCACCUGCAGGAGAGAAUGAAAGGGAAAUGAAAGGGACGGGGGAGACAUGAAAGAAGACAACAAGACAGUGUGUUCUGAUCAAGCUGCAAGUAUUAUUCUCCUGAGCAAGGCUUAUAUAGCAUGGGAGGGGGAGGGGGAGGGGGCAGGAAGGAGGGAAGGGGUGCACGAUGUGCCAUUCGUGCAGGUGAAGGGGGACGUGAAAGUCGUGAGGGUGUUGUGCUAGGUGGUAUGGUCACUGGUCAGGGCCCAUUGUUCUUUACUAUGCUACCUGACCUGCCUGACCUGUUCUUCAUCUUUGGGGUCAUCUGGUUUAGGGCAGGGGCUUGUUCUCCGGCAUAGCUAUUACUUUUCCAUGGUCCAUGUUUGGUCUCUGACACAGGGUCAUCCUGGGAGGCCCCUCUUGGCUGGCCACCUUGACCUGGAAGCUUGGGUCAGCACACCUAAGGCCAUUCUGGCAGCUGUACUGGUCACCCUGGUGGAUGGAGUCUUGUAUACUGCUGCUGGAUCUCUGAAGCAUGCUGUGUGUGUGUGUGUUUGUAUGUGUGUGUGUAUCUGUGUGUGUGUGCACACAUGUGAAGGACCUCAUGUAGAGGUUCAAGGACAACUUUCCAGAGUCAGUUCUUUCCUUCCACCCUGGGACUUGGCGCUUACACUAUGGUUGUUGGGCUAGCAUAGCAAACUCCUUUACUUGCUAAGCUUUUUGUUGCCUUGUAUUUCUUCAUUUUUGUCAGUGUUAUGCUUUGUGGGGGUCAGGGGUUUUCAAGAGGGGACAUACAGGUCAGUGAUCAUUUCUGAAUUUAGUAAUAUUUUAAAAGUCCAUCCCAAAGGUAAAUAACUUAGCUUCCGUGGUGUAGGAGACAGUUAAAAAUGCGUAUGGAAUAAAAGACUCCAAUUUUCAGUCAAGGGUCAAGUCUCCUUUAGACUAAUUUUUAUGCAGUGUUAUUCUAAGUAAAGUUUCCUCUGGGAGCAUGUUAGAAUUCUCUACUGCAGACUUACCCAGGAGUUUACAUUUGAACAUCAUUCUUCAGGGAUUCAUGUACAUACUCAGUAUUAAAUUACUGAUAUCUAAUUGUUAUAGAAUGAUAGUUGCUGAGGUCAUUUAAUGAAGAGGAGGGGUACCAUAAUUGUGACUUUCAUUGUGGCUGAUCAUCUCUUAAAGGAGAAAAACUGCUAAACCUGACUUGUAAACCCAAAUACCAUUAUUUAGAAUAAUUGUUACCGGUGAUAGAAGGCACCAUAAGUUAGUAUAAAUUCUUUUCGUUUUUGUUUAUACAGAAAAUAUUUAUACAAAGAUCAAGAUCGUUAUCCAUAAAAAGUUCACAUUUUAAGUGUAAGUUGAUCAUUAGAUCGUUUCCUAGGAUCCAUGUAAGGGUGAUGGGAAGUUUGGGGAAGAGUUUCUGUGUAAAAACCACAAGCUUAGGGCUGGUGGUGGGACUUGAGGGCCUAUGAGGUUAGGGGGCUCUGGGAACUGCAGAGAGCAGGAAGAGAAUGAAUGUGAGGUCCAAGGGAGCUGAUGGUUGGGAUGCUUGGCCCAUUGCAACUGGGCAACUUACUCCAUGAACUGGCCAAGAACGAUGGUCCUCCUAAACCUUACCUAAGCUGGUUUAUAAGGAAAAGACUUCAUACUGAGAGGUAAAGAGGAGCCAGGGAGUCUAGGGAUGACUUUGUCCUGCCACUAAAAGGUACAGGUGGGAGAAUAAUAGACUUCUGCCUCCAUCCAUAGAGCAGUAAUAGACAAUGCCUGCCAAUGCUGGGCAUUAGGCUCCUAGAACAGAGAGUUCUACAAUGCCUCCUAAGGGGACUACCUUUAUUCUGAAGCAAGAAUGAGAAGACUCAAAUGCAAGGACCCUAUUAAAAUGUAGAUCUUGCUGGCAAGCAAUCAAGAGAAGAGUAGCCACAAGAGUGCUGGUAGCAAGUGAAAACAAUGGAUAGUUCCUCUUUACAAACAAGAGCAUCAAGCAGCUGAGAAAACCCCUCUUGAUGUUAGGAGAAACCCUCAAAGACCGUCCCUGCCUUAGAAAGCAUCUGAUGGAAUUUCACUCUGGGGCUCCUGGUUUCAGAGUCAGCACUCAGGCCAUGACAGAGAAGACUAGGUAGAACGGUAUGGUGGGAGAAGAUGUGACAGACGUGUUCUGGUCUUAUCAUAUCAGAAAGCAGAAAGGGGACCAGAAUCUGCGUAGGCUCUGUCCUUCACAACCCACCCCUAGUGAUCCAUAUCCACCAUCUGGGAGACCCUGUCUUCCAAAUAUUCCCCAGCCUCCCAAAACAGCAGUACUAUAUGGGAACCAAGUUCUUAAACAUAUGAGCCUGUCGGAAGCAACUUACAUCCAAGUCACAGCAUUCACAUUUAUUUAUAUCAGUGUGGAUGCAUACAUGUUUAUUCUAUAAUUUGUGUUAUCAUUCAAUAUGUCUGUGUUCAUUUUAUUGUGUAUAUUGCUGCAAUUUGAUAGAGACCUUUUUUUCUUCCUUUGGCAUACCUCCAUCCUUGUAGGUGUGUGUGUUGGGGGGUCAAUACUUCGGAGAAUGGUAUGUCAAUGUUUGGCAUGGUAAGGGGUUGUCACACCAUUUCUAAAGUGGCAUUCUUAUUUUGCAUCUCUAUUAGAAAUGGAUGUGUGUCCCUGUUGCUCUGUGUCUUAACAAGCAACUGAUACAAUUUUUUAAAAAAGAUGACCAUUUCUUUUCAUAUUUGUGUCCUAGUACUGGAAUUCAAGACCAGAUGCUUGUAUAUGCAAGAUAUACUGUCUGAUUUUUGGUUUUGUUUGUCAAGUUGGAAAGAAGGAACAUUUGUUUAAGAACUGCCUUUAUUAGAUAGCCUUUGGGCAUGUGUGUGGGACAUCUUGACUGCUGAUUGAUAGAGGAAAGGUCUAGCCCACUGUGAGUGGUCCCUUGCCUAGGUAGGCGGCCAUAGGUUAUAUAAGAAAGGUAGCAUAGUAAGGCAGAGCAGAAGCCAGUAAGCAACAUUCAUUCAUGAUCUCUGCUUCAGAUUCGGCCUCCAGAUUUCUGUCCUCAAAUUCCUGCCUUGACUUCCCUCCACAGUGGACUGUCACCUGUAAGCCAAAUAAACCCUUUCCCAGAAUUGUUUUGGUCUGUGCUUUGUCACAGCAGUAGAGAAACAAGCUGCCACACCAUGGAACAAUUUUGCCACUGAUCUCCAUGCCCUACAUUGGCAUUUUGUUUUCUUGUUAUACAUUUUAUUCUUUAAGACAAUAUUUAAAUUUAUAUUUUGAUCAUGAUUUCCCCAACCCACAAGUCCUUCCAAAUCCUCUGCCCUUCCCUACCCAUCCAAAUUCAAGUUCUUUCUCAAAACAAACAAACAAACAAAUAAAUAAAUAAACAAAAACCAAUUCUUAGAAAGUAUGUAGUUAUAGUUGGUUUCAAUUUUAUGGCUUUAUUUUGAGUAGAUAUUAAUUUUAGAUUGCCACUUUUUCUAACAUUUAUGCUGUAUUUUAUCAUCAUUAUUUCCACAAGUAUCUUAUUUUUAAACUUUUGUUUCAGUAGAGCUAAAGCUUACCAGAAAUUUGCUCUUAUUUAUAAAUCCCUUUAAUUUGUUAAAUGAAUCCUCUUGACGUACUUUAAGAAGGAAUUACUUUUUAAUGAGAGACAGAAAGUGAGUGGAUCAGGAUGGGAGGAAGAUUGGGAGAAAAAUGGGAGAAGUAGAGGGAGGGGAAAUCUUAAUCAGGAUAUAUUAUAUGAAAAAAAUGGUUUCAAUAAAAUAAAGGAAGGAAAAAAAGAAAAAAAAGACAACACACACAGAUGGGCUGAAACACUGAAGAGGCAAUGUUCCUAAAAUGAAUCCUAAUCACUUUAACGUCUGUCUCCAGUACUGUAUGGAUUCUUAAAAAUGGAUUGUAGUUGUAAGUUGGCCUUUCCCAGUGGAUCCUUCGGCAUUUAACUACUUCAGAAAAGAAAACAGAGGUACCUGUCUGAAACUGAAGGUCCCUUAGGAAGCUUGAGUUCAAAGUGAUUGCUACUGUGAUGGCGCUGACAUAUGGAACUGCAGAUAGGGAAACUUCCCUCGCUCCUCCCUCCUGCUCUUGCCCCCUCACCUGGCCCUUCUGUCCUCAUGAUGUAUCCCAGAAUGUUACAGAGCAGCAAGGCAGCCCUACAGCAGCACCGGAUUGGGAGGUCAAGUCUCCUAUCCUCCAAGUCUAUGUGUCAAAUAAGCUUCUGCUCAAGUAGGUUUCUGUGUGUCUGUUUGUUCUUUGGGGACGCUUUCCCCUUUGUUUGUUGGUCCCAUUCUGAUGUGUUAGUUGUUUUAGUUUAUCUUAUUAUCCCUUAGACGUGUUUGUUUUCUAAUGAGAGACAAGAAGGGGGUGGAUUGGAUGAGAGAGAGGUGGGAAGAAACUGGGAGGAUUAUGUAGACGAAUUUCUAAGUGGUCUUAUUAAAUAAAGAACAUGGAGCCAAAUACAGGGGUGAAAGCCUUAGGGAUCAGGCAAAUAGUGAGAGUCACCAACCACCUUACCUCACCAGAUCUGUAGCUUCCAAAAUGCCAUGACUUCCUGUCUACCCAAGCUUUUAUUGCCUUGCUGUUCUGCCCUCUCAUUGACUCAGCCCAGCUAGCUCACUUCUUUGUUACUGCCUAUCUGUACAGACCUCCAGGGUCUCUAUGGUUGGUCCUGGGAUUAAAGACCUGUGCCACCACGCUUGGCUCUGUUCCCUAGCGUGACCUUGAACACACAGAGACCCUGCCUGCCAAGUGAUCAGGUUAAGGGCCUGUGCUACCACUGCCUGAUUUUUGUGUUUACUUAAAACGGCUUGCUAUUUCCUGUGAUCUCCAGGCAAACUUUAUUUGUUAGCAUACAAAAAAAAAAUCACCACUUUUCAGCACAAAUAAAAUAUCACUACAGAAUUAGAGGGAGGAGAAACCUUAAUCAGGAUAUAUUAUGUGAGAAAAAGAUCCAAUUUCAAUAAAUGGGAAAUAUAUACAUAUAUUUAUGGGGAAAAAGAAGGAUAUUCUUUGGAUUCAUGUAUAACUAAAAAUAUUUGACUUUCUAUUUAAGCAAACUUGCAACAUAUUGUCUUUUAAAGAUUGCCUUGUUCAUUAAUGAUUAGUGCUUCUAGACGAAGAUUUGAGGUCAAUAUGAUCUCCUUCUAAGUGUAUGAUUUUGGUCGGUUUCAAUAUAUAUCCUUUUGUGCCUUGUAAGUCAAUACAUUUAUUAUUCAGUAUUAUUUUUCAUAGCGUGCCAUGUGUUUCUUGCUUUCCUUCUCUUUAGAAAUUCUCUCUUCACUAUUUCAUAAUUUCAGCUACCCUCUGAUAUUUAUUAAACUUAGGAAGUCUUCACUGGAUGUGUUGCAUACUCUAGACUUGUUAUGGACAAGGCUAAGAUAGCAAUCUAUUUGCCCUUUUGUCUAUGCUUGUUCUCUGGAGCCAGAGAUAUCUAUAUAUCUUCUCUUGUUGCAGGAUAUUCGAUCACACUGUGACACUCUUAGACUAUGUUAAUAAUGUUAACGUUGAAUGAGGGGGUGGAACCAGUGGCUAACUGACUGGAAUUAGCCAUAGAGAAGCCAGGAAUACAGAUAGGGAAGUUGGACCGGAAGGAGGAGGGAGGGACUUGGAAUUCAAGAGCUCUCUUUGACCUGGGACAUGUGGAUAGAAGGUGUGCUGGCUGGGUCUCCAGUAAGAAAGGGAAGGUCAGCUGGUCACUCCUCCUGUGCUUCUUGAUCCAUAAGGUUUUGACCCAAUAUCUGAUCCUCGAGUUUUCAUUGGUAAUGGACCCAUUUAGCAAAACACAACAUUCUCUUAUCAUUUCAAGCUUUUUUGUGCUUAGGGUAAUAACAUUUUUUAUAAUCAUUUAUUCAUUCAACAAAAUAUCAUGAGUACUCACUAUGUGUUCUACUAUCUUUAAAAUGUUGAGGUUAUUUAAAUCAUCUUAAUUUUCCACAAAGUAUAUACUUUUCCCUAUUUACCUGGUCUUUACUGGUAUGUUUAAACAUUUUGUUUUCAUUAAGCUAUAUUUAACUACAUUUUAUGUUUCAUAUCUAAUAAUUCUAAUGUAUAAUGAUCCAGUAGCCGAAAUUUUCUGUUGUCUUUUUCAGUCUUGUUUCCUAAAUUAGGUAAGAGUUUUUGUAUCUAUAACAUGAUCAUUUCUCAGAAAAAAUUCAAUGGAAUGUUUGAGGGCUGAGAGAAAGGACAUUCCUCUAAAAGAUUUGAGUUUUCUUCUGUGAGUCUGGAAUCGAUAUGAAUUAAAUUCUUGGUUUGAGGUUUUGUGGCACAAUUCAGUUAGCGUGAAUUAGACUUACUCAUAUGUACCUCUUUGUGGUUAUGAAUUCUCUGAGGAUUUAUCUUUGUACUCACUAACAAGGUUGAUACUAGCAAAUUUACCUGUAGUUCUCCGGCUUCUCUCUUGGGGUUGGAUUGUCCAUGAGGGUUUAAUUCUUAGUUUGCCUUAUGCUGGAGUAAAUUUCCCUGUCCUAGUCUUAAGGGGAUCUUCGGUUGGGCUUUUAAGCCCUUGAAUUUCCCCAUGAUUCUGAGAGUUAACUCAAUCUCACCCAAUUCUCUUGAAAGCAAGUCAAUUGAAGUUCUCAGAGAUUUGACCAUCAUUCAUUGCUUAGCCUAAAUAUUCUUUUAAUUGUUUUGUCAGUAAGCAGGUAUCUGUGGAGACUUAAGGCUAUUUUUUAGUAUUUGUAUGUUUUGCAUUUGAAGGUUUAUCCAGGUCAUCUAAUUUUCUAUCAAGACCAUUGUUCUUUUUUAAUCCAUCAGGGCACUGUUGGUUUUAGACUGCAUCACCAUAAGAUUCACCUUGUUUGAAGCCUCACUCUGAAAUAUCCAUCCUUAAUAUUUUCCUCAAGAAAGAUCUCAUUAAAGGGAGAUUGAUUUAACUCAUCCUGUUCUCUGACAAGAGUAAUUCAAUAGACACAAGUACAUUAAUAAGUUUUGAUUUAUUGGCUAAAUAUCAAAUUACCUGACAUUGUUAUUCAGCAAACAGGAGUAUCAUAAACUCAUAUCAGUAAAAGUUUUUAUAGACUCAAAAGAAGACAAAUAUCGGAUUUCAGAAGCUUUCUGUUUGUAGCGACGCCCUCAUUACUACCCGUAUGUCCGAGUGAGGGGCUGAGGAUUAAAAAGAGAGACAAGACAGUGGGUCAUUCCUCUCAGUAGAAUGCCCCCUAUUGAAGGAGGAAGGAGGCCUUAAAUACAGACUUACAGUACAGUAGAAGAACCUGGGAGGGUAAAAGUAGGCUACAGGAGUUUUACAUUCUAGCAUUCCACCAAUAUGCAGGAUACGCAAACAAGCAACAUUUGGUAAGCUGCUUAGGAGGAAUGAAACCGGAAGGGAAUUAGCAUAGGGAGGACAUCUGAUCAAGGUCAGCGAGCAAGGCAACAGCUCCCCAAAAACGGGGGCCAGGGCCCAACAUCUGAUUACUGUGUUCCAAAUUAAUUCCUGACUUUUCUAGGUAAAAUGAAACAAAACAAAACA